GCAGGGGGAGCUACAGAGGGAGAGGGAGAGAGUCUGCUAAGCAGGAAGCCCAAUGUGGGACUUGAUUCCAGGACCCUGAGAUCAUGACCUGAGCCAAAGACAGAUGCUUAACCAAUUGAGCCACCCAGGUGGCCCAAGAUAUUACCUGGCAAUCAAGGUCUUACUCAUGAUUACCUUUGUCUAAGUGCUUAUGUGGGUUCUUGAAAGUGAAACUGUAGGAAAAUCUUGCUAUUCUUAAUAUCUCUUCUAAUGCCUUACUAACUAGCUGAAUCCUAGAGUCAGAGUGAUCUUCGAUUGAGCCUUCCUUCUGCCAAACCUCAUUUAUAGGAUCUUGGGUAAUAUAUUUCACAAUCUCACUUUCUUCAUCUGUGAAAUUGGAAUAUUGAUUGUUUCUCUUGAAUGACAUUGUGUGGAGGAAGAUCAGAUAAGGAUGUAAAAUACCAAAUAGAAUUUCUGGUGCAUAGUAGUCCUCCCACAUGUGUUCUGUGUUAUGGUUAACACAAAGGGCCCUCACAUGACCUUAUUUGAUUAUUUUCAUUCUACAGGGUAGGCAGAGGAGUUGUCAUUGCCAUUUUUAAUUUUUUAAAGGAAGAAAAAGAAAUAGAGAAAUGUUAAAGGGUUUGUUAAAUAUUGCAUUCCCCCCCCCCAAAAAAAUGGCAGAACUGAGGCUCAGACUUCUCUCUUUGCUCAUCUUACUAUAGCACUGUACCAACUUGACCAUGGACACCAAGGCUUCAAUCUUGAGGUGAAUUUCAAAACAUUUAUCAAGAGAGAAGAGGUUUGGGGCAUGUUAAUUCUUCUGAAGGAGUACUAGACUGGUUGGGGGACUACAUUUGGAGACCGAUUCUUCUUUGUCUUUAAGGUAAUCUGUUUCAAAGGAAUGGUCAUAAAGUUCCUACAACAGUAAAUUCUUAUCUUCAUAAAAUAUUUUAUUCACUGUAAUAGUCACUUAGAAAGGAUCU
rnacentral:lncRNA from 1 species